AAGAGUCAAAUUAAAAUAUUUAUUUCAGGACUUAAACUCUUCAAACAGCCGCGUUCAAAUCUUUUUUACAGUUUUCAGCAGAAAUGAAACAAAAGUGGAAAAAUGUCAAACUGUGAGUCCGUUUGUCUCCUUUAGAAACGGUGGAAUGUCCUUUAAAACUGUCCUCUCUGGGUUUGUCACGACUAUUACAUGACCCGUCACUUAUCAUCACCACGUCACAUGACCCGUGACUUAAAUCAUCACAUCACAUGACCCGUCACUUACACCGUCACCACAUCACAUGACCCGUCCCAUCUGUCACAUGACCCAUCACCACCGCAGGAGAGAAACGCAAAGAAGAAAAAACAUAAAUGGUCUGUACAAUAUGAACCCACGUCAUCGUCUGAAACCUCGCACCUGGUUCACCUGUCCGUCCGCUCAGGACACGGAGGCACGGGAUUGGACAGCAGACCUGUCAAUCACAGCACUGUCUCCAGGGACCGAUGCACCCUGAGUUCAGCCUCACAGGCAGCUGGACCAGAUCCACGCCUGGUUCAGUUUCCUCUGAUGAUUCAGUCUCAGGUGAGUCUCUGAAGUCUUCCACAGUCGUUGCAGCGAAGCAUCUGAUUGGCUGAGGUGGCUGAGAGGGCGGGGCUCAGCCUGGGAGUCAGAAUUGAGGGUAGAAAUGUUCUGACGGAGCUCUGACGCUGCGUUCAGGUGAAUCUGAAGCAAAAAGAAGCUUCAGAACUUGAAGUUAAACUCUGAGGUUUCCGGUCACCUGAACGCAGCAUCGAUGAAACAUGCAAAUAUAAAACAUGGAUAAAGUUUAAAUUAAAAAUAAAGCUGCCGUCGUUUUCUCCUCCCGUCAGCGAACCAGAUUCAUGUUCUGAGUUUAAACAGGAGAAUAAAAAUUAGGAAAUAGAAAAACAGCUAAAAGUGCCACAAAACCUGUAAAAACAAACUUAUUUAAUCAUGUUUUCUACCUUUUCUCACUUAUUUUUGUCAUUUAAUUAAACUGGUUUUCAUAGACUCUUCUAUGAAUCUGUGAUUGUUCAUUGAACUGUUGGAUGUUUAUUUAUUUCUGUACGUCAUGCAGGACGGAGGCUGUGAGCUUCUUACUGACUUCAGUCAGUAAACUUUUGUGGUUCUGCUGUCAAAGUGCUGAAUAUAAAUAAAGUUUAUUGAUAACGAUGUGGUUUGGGGUGUAAACAUAAACAUCUGGGUGUUUGGAGGCAACAAGAGGAGAAAACGACUGUUUUUGGGUGGAUUGCGCCUUUCCAAAAAAAACAAACAAAAAAAAAAAAAACACAAGAAGAGGAGUUGCCGUGGCGACAGAUCAACUCCGUCGCCACGGCAACAUACACCGCCUGAUAUACAGAAUAUAUCUAUAUAUGUAUAUAUUUACAGAAUAUAUUUGUACACAAACAGUCCGUCAGCAGGAGUCAGGUCACCCGGGGAUC
ensembl:lncRNA